UAGUUCAUUCAUUGAUUCAUUGAAAGGUAGAAAGCAGAGGGAAGAGUCCCUUGUCAGCUCCUUCACUUCCCGGACGUUGAAGGGAUGCUACCAAGCCGCGGUUGAAAUGUCGGAAAAAAGUCGGUACCGAUACCGCGGUCGGCAGUUUCACCAUUCAGUCUGUAAACACUGCGUCAAUACUUCUCUUGAAACUUUCCUCUGACUGGGCUGUGAUACAUGAUUCGGGUAGGCGGUUCCAGCUAUUAACUACACGGGUAGAGAGAGUAGCGUCGCCAUGGAUGCGUAACCUCCUCGGUCUUCACCAAGUUCGCCUCGGAGAAUGCGCCGGGUAUAUAUCAAAUCUCCUCGGUGACGACGGUAGGCCAGAGAGAAGAGAUUCAACUGUUCCAGUCGAUCUUCGUAGGAAAGCUGGUGAAGUUUUGCGACUGUUUUCGUACCGCGACGUUGAACACGCUCCAGCAUAUCGGUUUCGUACUUGGUCAAUGGGAAUACUGCAGGCAGUCCGUACUCAAGAAUGGGACGCACGUGAGAAAUAAACAGGGGUCUGAAAAUCGCAGGAGUCAUACGGGCAAACGACCGUCGGAU